GAUGAACGCUGGCGGCGUGCUUAACACAUGCAAGUCGAACGAUGAAGCCCAGCUUGCUGGGUGGAUUAGUGGCGAACGGGUGAGUAACACGUGAGCAACCUGCCCCAGACUCUGGGAUAAGCGCUGGAAACGGCGUCUAAUACUGGAUAUGUCCCGUCACCGCAUGGUGUGCGGGUGGAAAGAUUUUUCGGUUGGGGAUGGGCUCGCGGCCUAUCAGCUUGUUGGUGAGGUAAUGGCUCACCAAGGCGUCGACGGGUAGCCGGCCUGAGAGGGGGACCGGCCACACUGGGACUGAUACACGGCCCAGACUCCUACGGGAGGCAGCAGUGGGGAAUAUUGCACAAUGGGCGAAAGCCUGAUGCAGCAACGCCGCGUGAGGGAUGACGGCCUUCGGGUUGUAAACCUCUUUUAGCAGGGAAGAAGCGAAAGUGACGGUACCUGCAGAAAAAGCACCGGCUAACUACGUGCCAGCCGCCGCCGUAACAC
rnacentral:rRNA from 1 species